rnacentral:tRNA from 1 species
GAUCAAUUGAUGGAAUUGGUAGACAUAGCUGAUUACCAAUCAGCUGUUGAAAAACGUGCGGGUUCAAGUCCCGUAUUGAUCA